rnacentral:rRNA from 1 species
UACGGAGGAUCCGAGCGUUAUCCGGAUUUAUUGGGUUUAAAGGGUGCGCAGGCGGGAUGUUAAGUCGGCGGUGAAAUUUUGCGGCUCAACCGUAAAAGUGCCUUCGAUACUGGUGGUCUUGAGUGUGGAUGAGGUAGGCGGAAUUUGUGGUGUAGCGGUGAAAUGCAUAGAUAUCACGAGGAACUCCGAUUGCGCAGGCAGCUUACUAAACUACUACUGACGCUCAUGCACGAAGGCGUGGGGAUCAAACAGGAUUAGAUACCCU